UCUUCAUCUUCUUUUCUGAUUCAGCUUGUAUUUCUCUAUAUCUUUACAUAAAGCUUUAGAAUACUGUGAUUUUCUAUGUGAUUCAGGACUGCGGGAAACCAGUCUAUUUAGGUGAAAUUUUAUUUUGUUGCGUAUUUAUUUAAUAUAUUUUUCUGCAUCUGCAUUCUUAUUUUAUCUUCCUAUUUUAUUUUAUUUUUGGAACAGCCGAUACACGAUAUCCACACAAAAUUUCAGAUCUAAAUUUUACUGCGGACAUUCAACCAGAUCCAAGAAGAACAAAAUACAGGUCAUAUAUAAUUUUUCUUUGUGUGUGUAUUUACAAUUGUUGAUUUUCUAAAUUUAAACUAACUUUGAUCUACUUUUUGUUUUUGUUUUUCUACGGUGAUCAAUUAUUUGAGGUUUUAAACAUCUACUAGGAAAUUAGUACAUAUAUACAGCAUGCUUUUCCUUCAUCAUAGAGUUGAAAAAAAAAUAAAUUAGAUUUUUCAAUAAGUUUUCCUUUAGAUCUAUUCUCAUUUACAUUAUUUGGCCUUUUUUCUUCACAGAAGAAGAAAACGGUGAAGUACGACCUGAAAAUUGCAAAAGAAAAUGGAGAAGAAGAAAAUGAAGAAAAAAAAAGUGAAUUGCAGAAAAAGGCGCUGAGAUUUGCAAAUAAAAAUGGAGAAAAACCAGCUAUGACAAAAGUCACCCUUUAAACUUCAGUUGGCUGCUGUUGUUCGAUCGGAGAAGGUGGACGGCAAGAAUGACGAUGAAUAGCCUCUGAUUUGAAGGAGGAAGUGACACAUGGAUAAAGGAUCUAAGUUUCGGCGUGAUUUGAGAGAAGAGAGAGACGAUGGAGGCGAGAUGUACAAGAGGGGGAGAAAUAGAAAGGCGUAUGGACUAUGGAGGGCGUAUCAGAGGA
rnacentral:lncRNA from 1 species